CAGCAGCAGCCGCGGGAAUACAGAGGAUGCAAGCGUUAUCCGGAAUGAUUGGGCGUAAAGCGUCUGUAGGUGGCUUUUCAAGUCCGCCGUCAAAUCCCAGGGCUCAACCCUGGACAGGCGGUGGAAACUACCAAGCUGGGGUACGGUAGGGGCAGAGGGAAUUUCCGGUGUAGCGGUGAAAUGCGUUGAGAUCGGAAAGAACACCAACGGCGAAAGCACUCUGCUGGGCCGACACUGACACUGAGAGACGAAAGCUAGGGGAGCAAAUGGGAUUAGAUACCCGCGUAGUCCCUGUCUCUUAUAC
rnacentral:rRNA from 1 species